rnacentral:rRNA from 1 species
GACGAACGCUGGCGGCGUGCUUAACACAUGCAAGUCGAACGGAAAGGCCCUGCUUUUGUGGGGUGCUCGAGUGGCGAACGGGUGUGUAACACGUGAGUAACCUGCCCUUGACUUUGGUAUAACUUCAGGAAACUGGGGCUAAUACCGGAUAGGAGCUCCUGCUGCAUGGUGGGGGUUGGAAAGUUUCGGCGGGUGGGGAUGGACUCGCGGCUUAUCAGCUUGUUGGUGGGGUAGUGGCUUACCAAGGCUUUGACGGGUAGCCGGCCUGAGUGGGUGACCGGCCACAUUGGGACUGAGAUACGGCCCAGACUCCUACGGGAGGCAGCAGUGGGGAAUAUUGCACAAUGGGCGGAAGCCUGAUGCAGCAACGCGGCGUGCGGGAUGACGGCCUUCGGGUUGUAAACCGCUUUCGCCUGUGACGAAGCGUGAGUGACGGUAAUGGGUAAAGAAGCACCGGCUAACUACGUG